UUUUUUUCUUCCCUAUCUCUCUUUAUGUGCCAAAAACCCAAAAAGCAAGCACUCAUUCUUGCGAAGAGCCACUUACGGUAGGACCUCCAAUAACUGAACAAACCAUUUCCCAUUGGCUCUCCCAUCGCUCUUCAUCUUCAAGACUCUCUCUGUCUCUGGUGGAGAUUUGGUUCCACACCACUUUUGCAUGGAUAUUUUUGUUGCCUAGUUUCCGAACCAAGAGUUUUUGUUUUUAUGGUUUUUGGAUUUUAUCUCAUCCAUCCAGGCCAACCUUACAUUAUCAUGUAUGUCUUUUUCUUUUCUUUUCUUCUUUUUAAUUAUUUUGCCUUAUAUAUACUUUCUUUUCUUCCCCUUCAUCCAAAGG
rnacentral:misc_RNA from 1 species